CCCUUAGAUGUUCUGGGCCGCACGCGCGCUACACUGUUCGACGCAGCGAGUCUUAACCUUGACCGAAAGGUUUGGGUAAUCUUCAGCAAAGUCGAACGUGAUGGGGAUCGAUCAUUGCAAUUAUUGAUCGUGAACGAGGAAUUCCUAGUAAGUGCAAGUCAUCAGCUUGCGCUGAUUACGUCCCUGCCCUUUGUACACACCGCCCGUCGCUACUACCGAUUGAAUGGUUUAGUGAGAUCUCUGGAUUGACGCUGGCUAGGGGGCGACCCUUGGCCAGACUGUUGAGAAACUGCUCAAACUUGAUCAUUUAGAGGAAGUAAAAGUCGUAACAA
rnacentral:rRNA from 1 species